UGCUCCUGGUGAGCGAAGUACAGCCAGGUGGAAAUUGAAGCUGGGAGAUUCAGCCCUCCUUUUCCUUUGCUUGUCCCCAAUUUAGUGCCAGUGACCAGUUUCACCUGGUCGCACCGAACACGAAUUUGCCCUUCUCCCCGCAUGAGGACCUGCUUGGCCACAAACCAAACCAAACGAGCAGUGCCAGUAAACUUUGUCCUUCCACAACAUAUUGCACCGGCACGGCCGGGGCGGCCGUUAGAGGAGGAGCUUGGCCGGGGGAGAAGCAGGAUGCUGGGGCAGGAGCCACCAUCAGCAGGCAGGUGGCUGGCCCCAGCAGCAGGAAGGUGCAGGCCACCUGGGGCACGUUAGCGGGUUGGGGUGUGUUACAGCUCACAGCUCAGUGAAAUCAAUGGAAAUCAGCUUCAAGGGUUCAUGGGCAUCACAGGAUGCGAGCUGCAGGGUCAUCAGAUACUGCAGGACACACAGAUUUCUCCUUUUCUUUCCCAUUUCUGCAGGACUCACCUCAGGCUGUUAUUUUGGAGGCGUUUUCUGUGCUGCAGCUCUCUUCCCUGACCUCUGCAGGAUCUGGCUGAUCCCGAUCUGGAGGUGAAAGAUUGCCACCUCACGGGCUGUGAACCCAUCUGUGAGGUUGGGCUCUGAAUUAUUAACACAAUCAAUGGCCGCUUCUUUUCAUCCUGCAAGAGGCACAGAGGAAAGCUUCGGGGCCCUGGAAGGGAGGGAGGGGAAGGGGAGAGAAGUGACCGGUGCCGAUGGGUUUCCUUGGGGUGGAAAUAUCCCCAUGCCUGUUUCAUUUUGGAGCAGGAAAAAUUUGGGAAAAAGAACAGGAGGAAGGUGACCGAGAGGUGCUGUAGGGCUGAUGGUGGCACUGGGAACCUCUCCGUCUGUCUGUCUGGGGAAGGACGUCUUUCCCUCCAGCCCCUUUGGUGCAUCACAGCCUACACCCAAAUGGGGUCCCCAAGAGCGUGGAGGAGAGAGUCUCACCUCCAAGGAGAGAAAGGGCUGGGGAAUAAAGAAACACUUUUAUUCCCCAAGUGCCACGAAGCUGACAACGAGGCUGUGUUCCCCAUGCAAGGAGGGAGGCCACGGAUGUCUCCAGGAUGGAGCCCAGCACUGAAGUGGUGCAGGUUUGGUGGCCACAUUGUGGUGACGUUGGUUUCUCCCAGCUCCUUCUCCUGCUGCACCUGGGAGGAAGGCGCCACAGCCCUGUCCCAGCCAAGGGCCAGGGACAAGGGAAAACUCCCCAGUUCUGAGCCCCAAGAAGGAAACGAAGCCAACUGGAAAUGAGAAAAUACAACGGCAUCUUCACUCCAGUUUUUCCAAGAGGUUAAAAAAAAAAAAAAAAAAGCUAUUGUGCUAAGAGAGCUAUUCUUUCUGGGGAGAUAACACAAAGCAUUGUUGCGGAGCUGGCCAAAAUGUCUGAGGAACAUUUCCCCCCCGUCCCUUAUUUUCAUUAAAAUUCAGAUCAACAUUACAAGUGAGAUAAGACAAGAAGCAUACAGUUACAGUUCUGCAGCACUUUGUGAUCACUCACAGGUUCUGUAAUCCCUGCUCGGGGGGCUUAGGGUUCAGCCGGGCUCAUUUCAGAGCUCACCCAGUGCCUUGCUCCCGCUCCGGCCGCUGCUCGUCUGCGCCGCUCGCACGGGAGACCCGCAGCAGGACAGGCUGCACAGCCAAGCAAAACCUCACAGAUGCAUCAGCUGCCCUGGCUGGGGACCAAAAUUCAUUUUUUCUUUUUUUUCCUAUGAGGCCAUUUAUUAAGACUCUUCCCUUAUUUUAAUUUGAUGUUUGCUUUAAGCAUGAAGAAAAUGAUAGCAGUGCAACUGCAGCCCCAGCAGUAAAUGCACAGCACGGCAACUGAGAAACGCCAGAAGUCAUUUCUGUUGCCAGGUAUUCCCAGAGAAAAUAUUCAGGCCGUGGUCCAGCACCGAAUUUAUAAUUCUGCCACACCAGGAGCUCACUGCCGUGGGCAUGAAGCUCCUCUGCCAGCCUCCCUGGCCAUCACACGGUGACUGUCUGCUGCUAGAGGUGAUGCUGUGCAAAGGGCUGGUGGUCUUCACAUCGAGAGGAAUGAGACCAGCUACAACUGCAGCAAGGAAUCCUCCUCCAUGAGCUCUUACGAGGGCCAUCGUCACCAUCUGGCCUCCGGGUAUUUGCAGCAGGCAGGGGCGUUGUUCCUCGGGUUCAACCCGUGUUCAGAUUUAGGGACGUGUUGCAGUAUCAGGCUGAGUGGGGCCCUCAGAGCAACAUUUAGUGUUGAGCACCCCCUGGCAGUUACAUGGACCCAAUGAAGUGAUGUGAUCCACGGGAUCUGUUAAAUUCGGCGCCAGGCUGUGCACACAUAAGGUCAUAAAGGCAGCAAGAUGGACAGGAGUCGAGUGCUUCUGGGCUUCUGGGGAGCAGCCCGGGCUGUCGCUCCUUCUGCUGUCAUUCCUUGACUGACAAAAGGCCCAAAACACAUCACGUACCAGGCGGGUUGGAGAUCCGAACCCUCCCCGAAUAACUCAGCCCCACUGCGUGCAUCGUGCGAGACACCAGCACGCGGGGCCCAACCAAAGAGAGACGUCAGCUCCCAAAACCAGAGGAGCUGCGUGGAGGAGCUCCAGCAAAUUGGCACCUCCUCGCCAGGGGAACACAGACGGGGCAGCACCGAGCCAGAUGGAGGGGGAGAACGCUCAGCUGGGAGUUUCAGGAUGGGAAUUAUACAAACCCAGCCACCAGCACGUCACCUUUUCAAAGGCUUCAAAUCCGCUACAAAUUGCUUCUGAAUGACA